rnacentral:rRNA from 1 species
CCUACGGGAGGCAGCAGUGAGGAAUAUUGGUCAAUGGACGAGAGUCUGAACCAGCCAAGUAGCGUGAAGGAUGACUGCCCUAUGGGUUGUAAACUUCUUUUAUAUGGGAAUAAAAUGUUCCACGUGUGGGAUUUUGUAUGUACCAUAUGAAUAAGGAUCGGCUAACUCCGUGCCAGCAGCCGCGGUAAUACGGAGGCUCCGAGCGUUAUCCGGAUUUAUUGGGUUUAAAGGGAGCGUAGGUGGAUUGUUAAGUCAGUUGUGAAAGUUUGCGGCUCAACCGUAAAAUUGCAGUUGAAACUGGCAGUCUUGAGUACAGUAGAGGUGGGCGGAAUUCGUGGUGUAACGGUGAAAUGCUUAGAUAUCACGAAGAACUCCGAUUGCGAAGGCAGUUCACUGGACUGCAACUGACACUGAGGCUCGAAAGUGUGGGUAUCAAACAGGAUUAGAUACCCGGGUAGUC